rnacentral:rRNA from 1 species
AGAGUUUGAUCCUGGCUCAGGACUAACGCUGGCGGCGUGCCUAACACAUGCAAGUCAAACGGGUGUGCCUAUGAAGCUUCGGCCGAUUAGGAAUUACAUACCAGUGGCAGACGGGUGAGUAACACGCAAAUAAUCUACCAUUUAGACGGGGAUAACCUUGGGAAACCAGGACUAAUACCCGAUACGAUUCUAGUAACACAUGUUACCUGAAUGAAAUCCCGCAAGGGACUGAAUGAUGAGUUUGCGGCUGAUUAGCUUGUUGGUAAGGUAAUGGCUUACCAAGGCAGUGAUCAGUAGCUGGUCUGAGAGGACGAACAGCCACACUGGAACUGAGACACGGUCCAGACUCCUACGGGAGGCAGCAGUGAGGAAUUUUGCGCAAUGGGCGAAAGCCUGACGCAGCGACGCCGCGUGAACGAUGAAAUCUUUCGGGAUGUAAAGUUCUGUCAGCAGAGAAAAUUAUGAUGGUAUCUGCAGAGGAAGGCCCGGCUAAAUAUGUGCCAGCAGCCGCGGUAAUACAUAUGGGCCAAGCGUUGUCCGGAUUUAUUGGGCGUAAAGAGCACGUAGGCGGUUAUCUAAGUCGGAAUUAAAAGGCAGAAGCUCAACUUCUGUAUGGUUCUGAAACUGGUUAACUAGAGAUUGGGAGAGGAAAGUGGAAUUAGCAGUGUAGCGGUGAAAUGCGUAGAUAUUGCUAAGAACAUCCGUGGCGAAGGCGGCUUUCUGGCCCAAUUCUGACGCUGAGGUGCGAAAGCGUGGGGAGCAAACAGGAUUAGAUACCCUGGUAGUCCACGCUGUAAACGAUGUACAUUAGGUAUGGGAGGUAUCGACUCCUUCUGUGCCGAAGCUAACGCGUUAAAUGUACCGCCUGGGGAGUACGGUCGCAAGACUAAAACUCAAAGGAAUUGACGGGGGGUCCGCACAAGCAGUGGAUCAUGUGGUUUAAUUCGACGAUACGCGAAAAACCUUACCAGAACUUGACAUCAUUUAGAAUUCUAUAGAAAUAUAGAAGUGCCUUCGGGAGCUUUAUGACAGGUGGUGCAUGGUUGUCGUCAGCUCGUGUCGUGAGAUGUUGGGUUAAGUCCCGCAACGAGCGCAACCCUCGUUUUGUGUUGCUACAUUUAGUUGAGCACUCACAAGAGACUGCCCGUGGAAAACGGGAGGAAGGUGAGGAUGACGUCAAAUCAUCAUGCCCCUUACGUUCUGGGCUACACACAUGAUACAAUGGUCGGUACAAUGGGCAGCCAACCCGCAAGGGGGAGCUAAUCUCAUAAAGCCGAUCUCAGUUCGGAUUGGAGGCUGCAACUCGCCUCCAUGAAGUUGGAAUUGCUAGUAAAUGCAGAUCAGCACGCUGCAUUGAAUACGUUCCCGGGCCUUGUACACACCGCCCGUCACACCAUGAAAGUCGGAGAUAUCCGAAGUCAGCAAGCUAACCGCAAGGAGGCAGCUGCCUAAGAUAGCUCUGGUGAUUGGGGUGAAGUCGUAACAAGGUA